rnacentral:rRNA from 1 species
GGGCCUCAAAUCAGACAAGAAUACC